ensembl:lncRNA
GGCAAAGGAUGGCUGCAUUGAAGAAUUUAAAAUCUAAAAUAUAUUUUGAUUUGUUUAACACGUUUUUCGUUACUACAUGAUUCCAUAUGUAUUAUUUCAUAGUUUUGAUGUCUUCACUAUUAUUCUACAAUGUAGAAAAUAGUACAAAUAAAGAAAAACGCUUGAAUGAGUAGGUGUGUCCAAAUGUAUGUGAUUCACUGUAAUUUCUUAGAAUGUAUUGUGUGUCAAAGAAGCCCACAUUGUUUGAUAGUUGGUAAUGUCAUGUAUUUUGGCUUUGGGCACCUUUUCACUGCAUAGUGAAAGUGUAACUUUCUAUGUGAGCAUUACCCAUGCUAAGUUUUUAUGUCCCAAAUGUUUGCUUUCAAUUUAUUUGAAGGGUAUGUACAGAAUGUUGAUUUUCACUCAAUGUUGUAAUUUUUUAAAAUGUACUUUGAACAAUAAGGACCAGUUUCAUUGAUGUAGAAAUCCUAGUCUUGGACUAAAAAGCAAUUAGUUUCAAUUGAUUGCUCUAUUGAGCAUCCUUUUUUUAAGGAAUAUGUUUAAUCUGGGUCCUGGAAACCAACCCUCAACUUUUAAAUAAUCUUACUUUUGAGUUAAUGAUAAUAGAGAUGAACAUACUAUGUGUAUUUGUAUAUAUCAUUAAGUUUACAGUGAAUGUGUAGGAAGAUAAAAUGUAAAGGUAAAAAUGGAUUAUGUCAAAAUCCCAUUUUUUGCGCACAUACACACACACUUAAAUCAUAGUUUAUUCGUCAUAUGCACAGGAUACAGCGUAAACAAAAUAAUAAAAUGAGCGGUAAAACUAACGCAGUCCUGAUAAAGGAAUUUAUAUGUUUAAAGUAAUGACUAAAGAAUUCCACCCUGAAACCAUAUAAUUGUAUGAAAUGUGUGUGUGACUAGGCCAUUGUGUUAUUAUGUAGCAAUGUGAGAGUUGAGACAACAAAGGACAACUGAAAUACAUAUUACCUUGUUGUAACUCUGAAAACUGACAACAGGAAAGAGGGCCCUUCCAAACUGCCAAGGCUGGUAGAAAAGUAAUAAAACUG